UACGUAGGGUCCAAGCGUUAUCCGGAUUUAUUGGGCGUAAAGCACAUGUAGGUGGUUUUGUAAGUCUUGUCUUAAAGCUCUGGGCUCAACUCAGAAUCUGGAUGAGAUACUGCAAGGCUAGUGGUCAGCAGGGGCAAAUGGAAUUUACGGUGUAGGAGUGAAAUCCGUUGAUAUCGUAAGGAACACCAAUGGCGAAGGCAAUUUGCUAGGCUGAUUCAGACACUGAGAUGUGAAAGCGUGGGGAGCGAACGGG
rnacentral:rRNA from 1 species